ACUUUUAAACCACACAUUCCCUAAAAAGUCAUUAUUUAAACUUUGUUUUUGCCAAAUAAUGGCCAUCAAACAGGGGCUAAAUGUCUUAUUUGAACUUUUUGCUCCUGAACACCGGGGAGUUAUCUGAUACAAUAAUUAUUAGUUUUUUGCUCCAAGUUUGUUGCAUGAUGUUCAGACAGGGGAGAAAAAUCACAUGUUGCCUUCAUUCAGUGCAAAAUAAAAAUUGUUAACGAAAUUGUAUCUUGGGCUUUAAAUGUGCCAAAGUUGUGCACAGUGGAGGAGUACAUAUGAUGUAGGUGUGUAUGUUGAUUUAGAGAAAUUGAAGGUCUUUGGUAAAUGUGAGCUUGGCGAACUUUUGGUUUUGAACAAUUUGAUCGAAUUAGAAAUUUGUGGAAGAAAAGCUGCAUAUGUUUUAUUACUUGUGACCUUUAUUUACCAAUGCAAUUCAGAGAUAAAGAGGCACAUUAUUCCUUGGCUUUGCAUGUACAGUUUUUGUGUUGACUACCUAAUUUGGGACUUAUAGGCAUUGCAAUACCGAGAUGACCCCUUAACAACGUACGACUACGGGAAUCAAAGAUGUCACAUGUGUCUGCGGUUCGAUUCACUUCAUAAAGUCAUGGAUAGAUUAUCCAAGCCAGGCGUCAGACGACUUGUUAUUGUGGAGGCUGGAAGCAAACGCGUAGAAGGAAUUAUAUCACUGAGUGAUAUCUUUAGGUUUCUUUUGGGUAUUUGAAACAUUGCAAACAGCAGAUCGUGUUAAGGGGCGCCCACCUGCAAGGAAUCUCAAUUCUUUCGUAUAGACAAUCGGUCGGCCUCAUAUUUCGUGGCCUGGCCCUUUAGGUUAAUAGGCUGAAGAAUGAGGCGUGUAAAUUGUAAUAUUGUCGUUUUGCCUGGUGUCCCCUCGGAAGAUGUCUUUACCUAAUGCAAGGCUAAUGCACCCGCCCGUUCUAAUGAAAAACUUUUGGGAAGCAGAGAUGUUUAUUCUAAAUAGGAUGUGAGGAAAUAAGGAAAGGAGAUAAUUAUUGGAUGAUUGGGGGGUUUUACUCAAACUCUAUGUUUUUCAUUUUUUCAGUACUAAACUUUCUGGUACAUGUUAUAGUCACCAAUUGCACCAGUUAUAUUGGUUUUUCUUUUUGUCGACAUUCCAGCUGGAAACCCCAUUUUGUUCUUUGUUUCAUCUAAUUGAUCUAAGGCUGUAUGCUCGUAGUGUUAUAUGAA